CGGAACAUAAUCAAAAUGAUAAC
rnacentral:snRNA from 1 species